AAGGCCCUAGUUUAAUUAAAGCAUCUGAGUUGCAAUCAGAGGAUGCAGGGUAGUGGCCUGCGGGUCUUA
rnacentral:tRNA from 1 species